UGCUAGUCGCACGAGUUUAGACUCGUGGCAGAUAGCUCAGUAACACGUGGCCAAGCUACCCUUCAGACCAGAAUAACCUCGGGAAACUGAGGCUAAGACUGGAUACGGUACUCACGCUGGAAUGCAGAGUACUCCAAACGCUCCGGCGCUGAAGGAUGCGGCUGCGGCCGAUUAGGUAGACGGUGGGGUAACGGCCCACCGUGCCAAUAAUUGGUACGGGUGAUGAGAGUCAGAGCCCGGAGACGGAAUCUGAGACAAGAUUCCGGGCCCUACGGGGCGCAGCAGGCGCGAAACCUUUACACUGCACGCAAGUGCGAUAGGGGAAUCCCAAGUGCGAGGGCAUACUAGCCCUCGCUUUUGUUGACUGUAAGGAGGUCAACGAAUAAGAGCUGGGCAAGACCGGUGCCAGCCGCCGCGGUAAUACCGGCAGCUCGAGUGAUGUCCAAUAUUAUUGGGCCUAAAGCGUCCGUAGCUGGCCAGCCAAGUUCGUCGGGAAAUCCACCUGCCCAACAGGUGGGCGUCCGGCGAAAACUGUCUGGCUUGGAACCGGAAGGCUCAGAGGGUACGUCUGGGGUAGGAGUGAAAUCCUGUAAUCCCAGACGGACCACCGAUGGCGAAAGCACUCUGAGAGGACGGAUUCGACAGUGAGGGACGAAAGCUAGGGUCUCGAACCGGAUUAGAUACCCGGGUAGUCCUAGCUGUAAACGAUGCUCGUUAGAUGUGGCACCCACUACGAGUGGGUGCUGU
rnacentral:rRNA from 1 species